UACGUAGGGGGCAAGCGUUGUCCGGAAUUAUUGGGCGUAAAGCGCGCGCAGGCGGUUUGUUAAGUCUGAUGUAUAAGCCCAAGGCUCAACUUUGGGAGGCAUUGGAAACUGGGAGACUGGAGUGUAGGAGAGGAAAGUGGAAUUCCACGUGUAGCGGUGAAAUGCGUAGAGAUGUGGAGGAACACCAGUGGCGAAGGCGGCUGACUGGACACAUAUUGACGCUGAGGCUCGAAAGCAUGGGGAGCAAACAGG
rnacentral:rRNA from 1 species